rnacentral:rRNA from 1 species
UACGUAGGCAGCAAGCGUUGUUCGGAGUACUGGGCGUAAAGGGCGCGUAGGCGGUGCGGUAAGUCUGUAGUGAAAUCUCUGGGCUCAACUCAGAGUCUGCUGCAGAAACUGCCGUGCUUGAGUGUGGGAGAGGUGAGUGGAAUUCCCGGUGUAGCGGUGAAAUGCGUAGAUAUCGGAAGGAACACCUGUGGCGAAAGCGGCUCACUGGACCAUUACUGACGCUGAUGGCACGAAAGCUAGGGGAGCAAACAGG